ensembl:lncRNA
CCUGUAGCUAUUUUUACAUUGAUUUGUUCAAAAACUGAUUCAUUCAAGGAAUGAAACACCGUGUUACUAUGCACUGUUGUAUAAAAUUAUUAGCACAUUUGUGCUCGCGCAUGUAGGCCUACAGAUAUUCAGAAAAGUACAUUGCUUGUCUUUUUUUUUAAAUAUUCUAAUGUUGCGCUUAUAACUAGAAUCGCCAAUAACUAGAGCACUUUCAUCAGGUUUCUCAGUGGGUGCGUCACUGAAUGGGAAGAACCUGUUUGAUGUUUUGGUCAGAACGGAAGAGCUGUGUUUUAACCCACGUCUAUGACGCCUCACAGUCACCCAGUCACCCUGCUGCACGGGCUCUAGGACCAGAACUGAACAAUGUACAUGAUUCGCUAAACUAGUCACAUCCAAACCCAUAUCUAAAGCCCAAGACACUGCAUGAUUUUCGGCUGUACAAGAUGAAAGACUGGCAUUCUUUCAUUAUCUAUUUGGUGUAUAUUUCAUAUAGUUAAAGCUGUAAAUUCAACUCCUUGUUACAAAUAUGCUAGAACCAUCACCUCUACCACAAAAGACUGCUUUGUAAGUAAUCUUCCUGAUUUAUCUAAAUUCCUCAGCAUAUCCAAUAGCCCAGAACAACUUGAUGAUGUAACAGAAACUAUGGACUCUCUCUUUUCUUGUACUUUAGAUACGGUUGCUCCUUUACACUUAAGGAAGAUUAAGGAAAAAAGUCCAACACCGUGGUAUAAUGACCACAUUCGCGCCCUAAAGAGAGCAGCUUGGAAAAUGGAGCACAGCUGGAGGAAAACAAAACUAGAGACCUUCAGAACAGCUGCUAGUCAGCCUGUCGUUCUCUCAACGGAAGCCUGAAACCGGAGCCAUGAGUGAAUGCCAAACUUUUCAGGAAAAGACCUACAUGUUCUGCCCCCUGUGAGCUGACAACUCCUUGCCAUCAAAGUCAACCAUGCCGCUUUGCUGCGAAGAGAUGAAGAUCUGCUGUUGCCUGCGGACAGCUGGGUUUUACACAGUGGGUGCAAAGAUGUGAAAGAGGGUAAGAAAUGCUCUGGUAUUUGGAGUUCACAUGAAUUCAGCAUCAGGGCUAUGCAGUUUUUUUCCCACAUAAAUACAUUUAUUUCUGCGCUUUGUACAUUAAACUUGUUGCAACAUCCCUAUUCUCAAACUGAUUUUCAUUCCAAAUACAAAUGUGUAACAUUAUAAAUGAUAAUUGUAAUUUGAUAAAUUGUUAAUUGAUGCAUCUUUUGUGUGACUAUUUAUGUGAAGUUUGCUGUUAUAAGCAUAAGCCAUUAGUUAUAGUUAAAAUAGAUACCUAGAAGCCAGUUUCGCGAUUAUUAGCAUCUGUCGAUAACCAAUCCUCUUUGGCUGAUUGAAUAAUAAACAUUUUGUUUUCAAUAAUUGUUUUGUCUUU